rnacentral:sRNA from 1 species
GCUGGGCAUGGUGGAGCAUGCCUGUAAUCCCAGCAACUUGGGAGGUUGAGGCAGGAGGAUUGCAAGUUUGAGGCCAGCCUUAGCAACUUAGACCCUGUCUAAA